rnacentral:rRNA from 1 species
GGAUGCGAUCAUACCAGUACUAAAGCAUCGGAUCCCAUCAGAACUUCGAAGUUAAGCGUGCUUGGGCGAGAGUAGUACUAGGAUGGGUGAC